AGGACGUUGAUAGGCAGGGUGUGUAAGCGUUGUAAGGCGUUGAGCUAACCUGUACUAAUUGCUCGUGAGGCUUGACCAU
rnacentral:rRNA from 1 species